rnacentral:rRNA from 1 species
GACGAACGCUGGCGGCGCGCUUAACACAUGCAAGUCGAACGGAAAGGCCUGCUUUCCCUUGUGGAUUGCGGGUACUCGAGUGGCGAACGGGUGAGUAACACGUGAGUGAUCUGCCCCCAACUUGGGUAUAAGCCUGGGAAACUGGGUCUAAUUCCCGAUAGGACUGCAGGGUGGUGCCUGUGGUGGCAAACGAUUUUCUAGUGGUUGGGGAUGAGCUCGCGGCCUAUCAGCUUGUUGGUGGGGUAAUGGCCUACCAAGGCGGCGACGGGUAGCCGGCCUGAGAGGGGGGACGGCCACAUUGGGACUGAGAUACGGCCCAGACUCCUACGGGAGGCAGCAGUGGGGAAUAUUGCACAAUGGGCGGAAGCCUGAUGCAGCGACGCCGCGUGGGGGAUGACGGCCUUCGGGUUGUAAACUCCUUUCGACCGCGAGGAAGCCACCUGGUUGGAAGGGUGGUGACGGUAGUGGUAGAAGAAGCACCGGCUAACUACGUG